GCCGGAUGCAGUGGUGUGUGUCUGUAACUUCAGUUACUAGAAGGGCUUGAACUAGAGGAUUGUAGUUGAUGAAGGAUACUACCUGAGUUGCUCAUACGUAGAUCUUGUGUUCUAUCUAAGCUUUCUGUCAAUAUGGGAUUUACUCGAAAGAGUUAUUUCCAGGUUGCUUAAAGAGAGGUGAACUGGUUGAGGGCGGUAAUGCAGCAGACAAAAGCUUCCGCAGGGAGUAGUAGAAGAACAUCGUGAGUGAGUGUGACGAUUUGGGUAGCUUCAUUGGCAUGCGAGACCUAGUGUAAC
rnacentral:SRP_RNA from 1 species